rnacentral:piRNA from 1 species
UUAAUUACCUUCUUGAUAUUUCACGUAAAAGGAUAGGGGAUCAUGGGCUUGAUUUGUUAUCUGGCCUAGGAUCCAUCUUUUAUCCUUUUGAAACCAAACUAAAAUAUGAAAAUAUAGAGUAUAUUCUAUUUACAGACAUGUUUUGGCAUACACAGAACGUGCAUUCCUUUCAUGUAGCCAGAGUAGAGAGUUUGCGAUCUUUUUCUCUGUUCUUUGGUGCUGCAGACUACACAUUGUCUCUCUUGAUUCUCUGGAAGCUUUUGGAGCCUUGGUGAGCUUGUAGAUGUUAUUGGGGCGUUGAUAAGGGGCUCUACAAGGGAAUCAAAUACUGAAAGGUUGAAUGCUUCCCUUUCCAGAAGUUUUUCAUCCUUGGAGUGCUCACAAUAUAUGAUGUAGGCAUUCAGAAGAGCUCGAUGUAAAAGGUUCACAACCACCUUUCUAUAAAAUUUCCUUUCAUCCAUAUGCACUUAGAGCAUCAUGUCUACACCUCCCAUGUCAUACACUAUCCUGGGGAUAUACUCUCUCCUGUCUGUCCCUAUCCAUGGUCAUCACAGUCGGAUAGGCUCUUUGCUUCUUUGACUAAAUUGAACUCUUCGAAUAAAAAUAGAAAAUAUAACGAUAAUUGAAGUGUCUUAUAAGACGUAUUUUAAAGAUAUCUUGGUGGUUGAGGAUCUUGAUGGAAGAUUCUACAUUAGAUAAGAUUAACGGGAUGUUUAACUUGGCAGGAACCCUGUACUUGAGACCUAAUGAAAGGAGGUUCUUUUUCCGUUAGGGAUAAUUCUGCCGAGGAGAGAUUUAUUUGGUUGGAAGAUAUAUGAUUCUUAUAAGACACUCCUUUUCAAUCGUAGUUAUAUUUUUCUUUGCUUCUUUGUAUGCUAUAGCUAGCUGGCAAUCUUUUUGCAUAUAUAACACUCAUUUAGACCUGCCUUUGCUAAUGUCUUGCAAAAUCCAGAUCUAUUUGCUCUGAUUGUACCGGUCAAGUAGGUCUGGUUAUGGAAAAAAUCCUCAGCGUGCUUGGAACUGGUAAAAAAUUGUCCAUUUCAAGGUGGUGCUCUUUCCCUAAAAGAUUGGCCUUUCUCAUAAGUUCCAUUGGAGCAUCAUAUGAAAGGCUUACUUGUAUUGGGGACAAUUUGCCUUUAUAAGGAGUCAGUUUGAGGCAAUAGUCAGUGUCUGAUUCGCACAACAUCCAGAGCUUCACCCCAAAUUAUCCAUGGUGCUUUUGCGGCAUAUAUUGCCUUGGCCUUAUGCGAUUUUUCAGAAAAACUAGGCUUUUCAUCAACAGAGAGAUGUUGUUUAGGCUUAUAGUAAUGAAUAAAUUUGAAAUUUAAAAAAUUGAUUAGGUCCAUGAAUCUUUUGGUUUGGUCAUAGGCUGGAUCUGAACUAGGGAGAAUAUGUGCUGGACCAACAGCACUGAAAAAGCUGGGAAAAAUGGAAAGUAAACACUCACCCAAGGUGAAAAAACGAAUUCUUCAUAAGAAUUUAUUGAUUCUUGCUCCCGUGUCUAUUAAAAAGGGCAAAUUUACAUUUGUUGACAGUUCAGUCCAUAUUAUUAGCUGUUCAAUGAAAAAAGGUUGAAGGUUUUCCUACCGUUGAGCUACUCGUGGGGCUUGUAGAGUCGUCUUGGCUUGCAGCUUGGACUUGGGGAACAUGGCUCGGAGAUUGGACCUUGGACCGGGUAUCAGAUUUUGGUACAGUGGUUGUGCGUGGUCUGGCGCUGUAGACUUGGCGUGUUCGGUCCUGUGGGAACCGUUGUUCACACUGGGAGUGCCAGUGCAUAGCAUUGCAAUACUUGCAAGGCGAGGGUGGGGGUGCAACUUGGUACGUUACAUGUGAUGACCGCUGGUUGUUGUACCGCGGUGGUGGGUUGUGGUAGGUUGGGUGUGGAGCCUUGUGUACUUGGCGCUGGUACACUGCACUGGUGGCACACUGAGUUCCUCUUAUUCUUGACACUAGGUCGAACCAUUCUUUAAUGGUGUUUGGUUGUACCGUUGCGAUUAAUCGCCGGUUCGUGACGGCCAGUCCGUCGGUCAGAGACUCUAUUAAUAUGUCGGCGGGUAGGUUGAGUUUCAUGCCCAUAACCGUUUUGUUUUGGUAGUAGUCUUCUAGGGGCAUUUGGGGUGUCAAUUUGAUAGCCAAAAAGCGUGCAAAUGACGCUUCUGUCAUUGCUGGGAAUAAGUCUAUCAGUGUCUGGCUGGCAUCAUUAUAAAAUAACCUAUCUAACUGUAGGCUUCGGAAAUAUUGGAGUGGCUUACCUUGCAGGUAGCAGGGUAACUCGCUAUAAGCUGUGGUAACCGAGGGUCAAACCUGUAGUAACCGAGAGGGACAGUCAGGGCGUGGAGAGUUUUCCAGUACCUCUCUGCACCUUGUAGGACCAUUAACAGUUCUCACAGAGUACAGGCAGUCGUGGUCGAGGCAGAGUGGAAAGCUUGGGAAUGUCCACACACAAAAAAACGAAGAGACACACUCGUAGUAGGAAAGUUCCAUGAACAGAUAAAAGUCGAGCUAAGAGCAAGAUGGAGUUAGAAGAGAUCUUACUGAUUUACAUGGCGAUGAGGUGGUCCUGGUUAAGACCGACAAGGGCUGGCGCCGACAGUGAAGUGACUAUUGUUUGGCUAAAACAGGGAGGUUUUAUCCUCCGACAAAAGAAGUAUCGCAUUACAGUACAUGCGAGAGAGCGCAGAUCCUCUGGCGAAACUGGACACUGGCGCCGUCCUGACAGCUUCGAAUCUAUCUUUAGAAGUUGCUUUGUGUUUGACUUCUAUAUCUCUAGCUCACCUCUUAAUCUAUUACAGAAUUUUAUUUAUUAUUCUCAGUUUGUACAAGUUACAUUACAUAUGAUGAUGUAAUGACACAUGUCAAUCAUGCAUAUAAUCAUUUACAGAUGUGUUUCUAUUAUACAACAUGAAAAUCUUAUUAUAAGUUAUAUACAAUAUGGGGUUGUUGGUGUAAAUUACCAUAUAUACAAUAAUUUAAUGCGAUAAAAUGAUUUUUAUACCUUAUAAUAAUCUUUUAUUGUAUGGUAAAGUUUGAAGCAAUCACCAAGGCAUAGUGGAACUAGGCAGGUCUCACAUUCAUAGGCUGUAUCUUUUCUUGCCUGCUUGCCAGAGGUUACCCUGCCUUUUUCAGCGCAAACUUUGCAUCUGCGUUGGGCAUAUGUUUUGCCUUCAACUUUGAUUCGGCGAAUAAAAUGACGUCCAAUAAGUCGAUCAGAUUGUUCACCGCUUGAAGGUUGAGCAUCAAGAAUAUCUUGAUUGGCUUCUGAGCAAAGAGCUUCGCAUAUUGAAAUAUGGAAGUCCCUCAAAGACAUUUUAGCAUAAGGAUUCAAUAUAUUGUAAAUUAUGCAUGAAUUUACAAUAGCAAGUCCAUAUAUGGAAAAAUAGUUUCUUCCACCAUUUCAUUGUGCGUCGAUCAAAAGAAUAAUAGGAGAGCAUCUGGUCACUUCGGUCCACUCCAAUUUUAUUCUUAUUGUAGUCAAGAACAACUUGUGGUUUGAAUAUUGGAGCUUGAGAAAGUCCAGGCCUCCCCAUGACUUCAACCAUUUGAUGGUCGUGAACAGUUGAGAUCAUCCAAACAUCUCUGGUGUGGCGCCAUUUCAUUGCCAUUAGGCUACCCUUGAAUAGAUGCAUUUCUUUACCUUUCUUCAAUUUUUUUGAAAAGGAAUUCUUAGGGAGACCUUUCCUAUUAGUUUUUACUGUACCAACAGCCAUUGUUUUCUUUUCCCAUAGAUAGUUGAAGAGGUGGGGCGAAGAAAACCACCUGUCACAAUAAAUGAUGUGACCUCUGUUGAAGAGAUGAGAGGCCAAUCGUUCUACCAAAUUUGAUAUAGAGUUAUAGCCUUCUUCCUGGCUUGGAUGUUUACCUGUGUAUAUGUUGAUAUCACAGGUAUAACCAGAAUUGGCUUCACAAAUUUGGUAGAUCUUUAUUCCAUAUUUGUGAGGCUUGCCUAUUAUGUAAAUACGGAACCUUAUUCUUCCUCUGAAUGGACAAAUAGCUUCAUCAAUGGUCAGAUUCUGGGUCGGGGAAUAAAGGCAUUGGAAUUUUUUUGGUAAGAGGAUCUAGAAAAGUUCUUAUUUUAUAUAGAGGAUCAUAUCCACUUUGUCCAAAAGGAAUAUAGGAAGAAUUAUCAGCCAGGUGAAGCAUUGACAAAAUUGCUUCGAACCUAUUUCUAGCCAUUAAUUUUUUACAGAAAGUGGUAUUGAGUACAGAAUUGAUGGACCAGUAAUCUUUCAUUCUUAAAAUGCAGGCAAAAAAUAACUUUAUUUCUGCAAUUGACACUGCUUUCCAAUUAGCCAGAAAGCUAUAUGCCUUGAGAGGACCCCUUCNNNNNNNNNNNNNNNNNNNNNNNNNNNNNNNNNNNNNNNNNNNNNNNNNNNNNNNNNNNNNNNNNNNNNNNNNNNNNNNNNNNNNNNNNNNNNNNNNNNNUGUUUAUCAAUUGUAGACCUUGCAUACUUGUUUGUUUCUAAUUUAAUUUUCCUGUACAUUUCUUCAAUAAAAGUUUUGAAAAUAUUAUAUGGGGACAUUGUUCGUGUAAAAAAAUCCAUUUUAGGGCCAGGUUGGUCUAAGAAAACCGGACAGUUUACUGAGGGAUUCCGAACAUUUGCCCAACCCUCAUCCUGGGGCUCUUCAAGACUCCUUUGCUUAGAUGGAAGCUGAGCAAAUUCUCCAUCUUCCAAAUCAUAUAUUUCAGUUUCAUCUGAAUCCAGACCUUCAACAUAAUCUGGAUCAACAACUGGAUCAUCAAUUUCAGACCCAGAAUCAGAGCAAAAUUCGUCUACAUGUUUUUCAUCAAGAGAAGAUUUAUAAAAUGGACCUACCAAUUUGGAGGUGCUUGGUUGACUAGGAUCCAUCAUAAAAUGAAAAUAAUCCUUCAAAAAGUAUUUUAUAAGUGAAAGAUAUUGAAAAUAAGACAAAAAACAAGAGCUCUAUAAAUAGGUAAGUUGAGCACACUGCAGUUGUUUACAGAAGAAGCAGGAAGUGGGAUCGGUUCUUGAGAUUCCAGGCUAAUUGGCCUAUCAAAUGUGGUCUUCUAGCCCUACUAUGGCUGCAGAACGCGAACUGGUGGCAAGGGAUCCUAGGAUCUGGCAGUAGAGGUGUCAUCGCAGGGGUGGGGGAAGCUGGAGAGGUCAGGGAAACAGCGCCUUGAUGGAGGCUAGUUGAGGAGGCAGGAGGUCCUGGAAGCCUAGAACUUGAGGGCUCUAGACUUCAAGAUGGGGCAGCUUGAGGCUCUCGCCUCGUGCUUGUCUGGGAGACCCUUGGCACAGCAGUUGGCGCACUUGGAAGUGCACUGGUCGGCAACGGAGGGGCAGGCGCGGCCUUCAUGGCUGCCUUCACCUCAGUGGAAGCACUUAGGAGCUCUGGUGCAUUGGGCAGAGUUGUGGCCAAAGCCACAACAGCGAAAGCAGACUCGGGCGCGGAUGGACUCCUCGAAGUUGAGGAUUACUCCAUCCACCACGAUCCUUCCGCGAUUGCCCAGGGCUCUGAAGGUCUUGAGGUCCACCUCGAUGAAGGCGGUGCAGGUCACGUUUCUGGGUGCAGAACGGUGCGCCACGCUCACCACCUUGUCCCCAGGGAGUUGGCUGACAGCAGGGAUUUCCAGGAGCGUCUCUUCAAUAGUGGAGUUGGAUGUUUCCUCAUCCACUUUGAAGAGGCAGAUGCGAGGCAGGAUCUCCUUCUGUUGGCGGACCUUCAUGCCAUCCAGCUUGUUGGCCAGGCAGGUGGUAACAGCUGGGAUGGUAUUGGGGUUGCUGGAGUGGAGGACAAGCUUCCCUUUGGUUCGCAGGGAGGCCCAAACGCCUUGGGGUAGAGUGUGGGCAGCGCGGACAGCUUUAAGCAUUUCCCUUGGGUCAGCCUGUGGGUCAUCAGAGAUGACCACUGUGUGGGCCGCCGAUUUUUCUCCAUGGAGGACCACUUGGGCGGCCGCAGGCUUGGAGACGCGGGAUUGCGCAGGUUUUGCGGGACCUUUCAGGUUAGUCCUCUUUGCGGGCGGGUUGGGAGCCUCAGGCUGCUUCCUCUUUGAGGGAGCAGGAGCGGGCACGAUGGGGGCAGGCUUCUUAAUUGGGAGAGCAGCAGGAACAGGGGUGGCGGGUUUGAUUGGGUCGGUUUGGGAACUGGCUUCCAUGCAAGAAAGAGCUGGGCUGGUUUGGGUGCUGUGACUGGCAGUUGGGGUGAUGACGUCCGGCUCCGCGAAGGCACUGAGCAUGUCAGUAAGGCUCUCCACUUCAGCGCAAAGGGCCUUAAUCUGCUUAUUCCGCGUUGUGAUGUACCCAAUCAUGUCUUCGUGCAGGGGCUUGAGGGCGGGAUGGCCAACGCCGAUCAGGACCUGGAGGUGGCGGGAGAGCACCAUUUCGUCCUCCUUAUCCAGGGCAGCGACGUCCACGAUGGGCUUCUGAGCAUUCUUCUUUUUCUUGGCAGGGUUCAUGGCAAGAGCAGGAGAGCAGCCUGACUGUCUAAGACUGAGGGGUCACGCCGACCACUGAUAGCAGGAAGUGGGAAAUCACGUGCGCCAUGAUGUAAAGGGGGUGGAAGGGGGGGCGAGAGGGAGGGGAGGCGCCUGUCAAGGUCAUGUCAUCAUGAGACAGCCGCGAAAGUUGUUGGGGCCAGCUGCCCAAUGACGAGGAUUGCCACACCGAUUUUCUAUUGAUUUUUAAAGUUUCAUGACGUGGAUCCACGUCAUUGGGGUUUGGUGCUUUAACACUUUGAGGAACAUUGGUUUCACAACCCAAAUAGCCCUGUGAACCAGGAUAAAACUUGAUUUUUUAAAAAAAUCAUAUUUAUAAAAAAAUUUUACCUUGAACAGUGAAAUUUGAUGCUUGUAUCAAAAUAUGUCUAUAAAACACAAAAAUGCAAUAAAAAAAUAUGUUUAUUGGCACUUUUUCAAAAUAAAAAAAUAAAAAAAGAACUAAAAAAAUGCAAACUGCCAAAAAAAAAACGCCACUGUUUGUAAAAAAAAUAAUCAGAGGAAAUUAUUAAAAUUUUUACAUUUAUAUACAUUGUUAUUCUCAGUACUUCAUUUCUGUAUGGUACUUUUCGAAGCACUCUCCAACGCAAAGUGGAAUUUUGCAUUGUUUGCACUCAAAUCUGGUGUCCUUCCGGGCUGCCUUCCCAGUCUUGUGCUUUGCACUAUCUGCACAAACUUUGCACCUUCUUUGCACUGCUUUUCCACUUUCUGGGGCUAUUUUAUAGCAGUAGUGCUUCCCAAGUAGCCUGGCAACAUCAGUUUUCGAAGUUGUUUCUUUUUCAGAGUGUUCAAUGCUUGCCUGAUUGAGCAACUCCCCACCGACAGCCAGAUAGAAGUCCUUCAGACUUAUUUUUUUAUCAGGAUUUGCUUUAUUGUAAAUGAUGUUGCCAUUUACAAAACAAAGUGAAAAAAGAUGGAAGAAUAUUUUUUUCCACCAUUUCAAUGUUUUCCUGCUAAAAGAAUAAUAUGCCAUCAUCUGAUCGCUCCGGUCCACUCCUACCUUCCCCUUGUUGUAAUCGAUGACAGCAUCAGGCUUGAACAACUCUUCUCUGGUUGGGGUUUUGGGCUUGACUGGCAUCAUUUUACCUUCAUGGACAGUGGAGAGCAUGAAAACAUCUCUAACAUCUUUCCAUUUGAUGGCUAAAAGAUGCUUUCUUCUCAUCUUUAUAAUCUCUCCUCUCUUUAGUUUUUGGGAAAAUUCGGUUUUUGGCAUCGUUUUCCUGGAAGGCAUAACUGUGCCAACAGCUAGGGUCUUUUUUUCCCAAAGUUUAUCAAAUAACUCAGGAGAGGAAAACCACCUAUCAAAAUAGAUAUGAUAGCCUUGUCCAUAAAACCUCUUUGCCAGCCUGUCCACGAGGUUUGGAAUGGAGUUGUGCUCUGGCUGCUCAGGAUCCUUGCCAGUGUAGAUAUCAAGAUUGUAAGCGUAUCCAGAUACAGCUUCACAAAUCUGGAAUAUCUUGAUGCCAUAUUUAUGAGGUUUUCCUUUUAUAUACACUCGAAAACCCACACGUCCUCUGAAUGGACACAUCGCCUCAUCAAUAGUGAGAUUUUGCUGAGGAGUGUAGGCAUUCCCAAAAGAAUAUAUCAGGGAUUCCAAAACUGGUCUUAUUUUGAAGAGUCUGUCAUGCCCUGGUUUUCCAUAUUCAAUGUAUUUUGAAUUGUCAUUCAAAUGUAGCAUUGACAAAAUUCUCAUCAAUAGUGGCAUAUUUAUAGACUGGCAAAAGGCAUUCUUCAGGAAUCCGUGAGUAGACCAGUAGUCUUUCAUCCCAGGCUUCUUCACCAAAGACAUGUGUAUGAUGACACAGAAAAAGAGCUUUAUCUGCUAGGUUGAUCCAAAGGAUUCAUUUCAAUAACGUUAUGAAAUUAGAGGCAAAAUAACUUAGAAAAAAACGAGCGAAAAGAGAUUAGAGAUAACAAAACAAACUUGCCUGUUAUCAGUUUGUCAGCAAGCUAGCCAAUGAGAUUGAGCGACAGAUGACUAAUUUUUUUGCCUGCCAACAGUAUCGUCCUGACAUCUAGUGAUCAUUUUUGUAACAAUUGAUGAUAGACCGAUGAUUUGCCGAAGAGAUUUCUUGACAUACUUCGUUCUAUGAUUUUCUAUUGAUUUUUAAAGUGCCGCGACGUAUAAAAACGGGGUUGGUCUUCAAAGUGUUAAUAGCAAUGACGUGGAUCCACGUCAUUGUGGUUGAAAGUGUUAAAUGUCUUGGAAAUCAGAGUCUAAAGAUAAACUAUAAAUUUCUGUGGCUGAAGAAUCAGUUGACCGAAGAGUCAGCCCUGCAGGUCGGGUGGUUGCUGUAUGAUGUUGAAGGCCUCCCGUAUGAGGGGCCUGAUGGAGCUGCGGGACCAGUAGGGGUGGGUCAACGUCAGGUCACUAGAGCCACAGGCGAUACAGGUCUCUCGAGCAGAGGCCGGAUGUGCAAGAUGGGGAAGAGUGUACAGGGCCAGCUUUACUGCAAUGUCGGCAUUGUGCCCUGAAAAGGCCCAAUGUCGAAGCGAUGGCCAGCCGACGGUGAGAGGAAUGUUGACAAAGUCUUGCCAACGGUACAGAAGCUGGGCGAUAGGCAGGGUUGCCAGGCGUGGUCGCUCAAGUGUACGGCGGAUGGUGCGGGUAGUUAGGCGCAUGAGCGGAGUCACCGUCCCGCGCAACACCACAGCUUCGCCUAGGUUGUCCACCCGGUGGGACCCUAGGAGGUUUUCUUCAAACAGCCUAUAGCAGAAGUUGGCCAACGCUGUGGCAUCUGCAAGAGCGCAACGGGUCGGACGAGUGAGCAGUGACACAGGGCCAUCGAAGUCCCCGAUACGUGCUCCUAUCCACCGUGCAGCGGCUAGGAGGUCAGGUGGCUGGAGGAACCUGCAUCCUCCGAUUAUGGCGAAGUCCCUCAGCUGUUGUGUUGGAACUAUCCGGUGGUCCAGUGCUAGGAAGUCUGAAACUGCUUCCCAUAUCUUCAAGAGUCUACGACGUCGAGUUGGAAGCCAUGUCACAGAUGGAAGGGGAGUUAACCAGGCCCCACUAUCAGUGAGCCAAGAGUAGGCGUUGAGAUUUCCACAAAGCAAAGCUUGGACACCUUUCAUACACGCCAGUCUCAGCUGUGUACUGACGUCGAGGAGGCCAAAGUCACCCAUGGAGACAGGACGUGCUAGAAUAUAUUGAGAAUAAUAAUUAAGCCCAAAAAUUUUCUUUGGUGUGGUAAAUCUUGAAGCAGUCAACUAGACAAAGUGGGACCAAACAAGUCUCACACAUAUAUGCAGUAUCCUUCCUUGCUCUAUUCCCUUUUGUUCUUUUUCCUUUUUCGGAACAGACUUUACAUUUUCUCUGAAUAUAUGUGCCUUCUUUCCCUUCCACUUUGAUUCUGGUUAUGAAAUGCUUCCCCAAAAGCCUAUCUGGAGAGCCAGAAGCACCUUGUUGCUCAUCAGACAUUUCAACACCUGCCUCUUUAACUAACUUUCUAAAAUUCUCAAAUUGAAUUCUCUUAGAUUCAAUUUCCUGUCCUGGUUCAAUUUAUUGUAAAUAAUUUGUGAAUUCACAAUACCAAGGUUGAAAAGGUGGAAAAAUACCUUUUCCCAUCACUUCAUUGUCCUACGAUAGAAAGGGUAAUAUGACAUGUAUUGAUCUCUUUGAUCAACACCAGCUUUGUUGUAAUCAACAACCACUGCUGAUUUCUUUGUUAGCUCUGGUUCUGGAGUUUUUUUUAGAUCUUUUAGGUGCCUGAAUCAUUUCUGCCUCUUGAUUUGUAGAGAGCAUAAAUACCUCUCUGGUGUCCCGCCAUUUCAUUGCAAGAAGGGGUCCUUUUUGUCGAAUGAUGGUUUCACCUUUUUUUUUAGUUUUUUUAGAAAAAGCCUUUUUUGGCAAGCCUUUUCUAGUUUGCAUUACUGUACCAACAGCAAUAGUUUUCUUGCUCCAUAAGUGUUCAAACAGUUGUGGAGGAGAAAACCAGCGGUCAAAGUAAAUAAUAUGCCCUUUCUCAAAAUUUGAUUCAGCCAAUCUUCCAACCAAACUCAUUAUGGAGUUGUACUCUGCAGCUUUAUCAGUGUUUUCCUGUAUGCACAUCAAUAUUGCAUGUGUAUCCAGUACUGGCCUCACACAAUUGGUACAUUUUUAUCCCAUAUUUGUGAGGUUUUCCUUUGAUGUACACUCUGAAAUGGAUUCUCCCACGAAAUGGGCAAAUAGCCUCAUCAAUGGUAAGCUUCACAUCUGGUAGGUAAACAAUUUUGAAUUUAUGAACGAGAGGGUCGAAAAAUGUCCGUAGUUUGUGAAGAGGGUCAUAUCCAGGUUGUCCAUAGGCAAUGUAAGUUGCAUUGUCAUUGAGAUGCAGCAUAGAAAGAAUGGCUUCAAACCUUUCCCUUUUCAUGCCUGUUGACUUGCAGAAAUAUGAUUUGAUGCCUAUGUGAGUUGACCAAUAAUCUCUUAGCCUUGGCUUCACAACAAGGCUCAUAUGUAUUAUAAUGGCAAGAAAAAGUUUUAGUUCUCCUACCGAAAUGGCUUUCCAUUUAUCCAAAAAACCUCUAGGGCUCAAGGGGCCUUUUUUCCUUUCCCUAUCAAUAUUUGCUCUUGCAUACUUAUUAGUUUCAAGUUUUACGUUUCUGAAAAACUCUUCAUCAAAAAAUAACUUGAAUACUGAAUAGGGAGAAGUGUCGGGAAAAUGACACUAUUUGGUCCGUGAGGAGAAGAAAAAUAAGGUUUAGGAAAAGGGUCACUGACCUCGGUCCAUUCUCCAUCCUCAGAAGUGAUUUUUUUUAGCAGGAGCAACUUCUUCAAAAUAAAUUUCAGUUGCAUCUGAUUCAUCCAAAACAAAAUCUGGAUCAAUAACAGAAUCAUCCAAUUCUGAAUCAGCAGUAUCUUGAAAAUAUUCAUCACCAAACUCCUCAGGUUCUGUAAUUGGAGUGAUUCCUGAGUUAUGGGUUGAUCAAGAUCCAUUUGGCAAUAAAUAAAAUAACAACCAUCCAGGAACGGAGGAAACAUGAGCAGAAGCGAUGUCAUGGAAAAAUCCCCCAAUGGGGCCCCUUUCACCCUCCCCCGCAUGUGACCUUGAGCACUGACGUAGGCAAAUGAUGCAGCUAUUUGAUGGCAGAAGGACGUGAAUCAUGCCACGAUUUUAUAUUGAAUUUUUAAGUUUCAGGACAUGAAUAGUAAAGUAUAGUAAGUAACUAAUAACUAUUAAGUAACUCUCCUGUUAUUUGAAGCAUUUUGUAUGGUAACCUAUUUGUGUUGUUCCUUACACUUGAGUGAAAAGACUCCUGAUUUUUUUGGGGAAAUGAUGAAGCAUUAACAUGAAACCUUACAAGAUCCGAUGCUAUUUAUAUAAUAUUUACAAUUAAUAGGCUAAUCCCUUAAUAUGUUAUCCAAUGUUCUGGGUCGCUGUAAUGUGGAAGAAGUCUCUUGGUGGGCUUGUGGGUGUAGUAUCUGGGAGGGAGGGAGGGAGUGAGGUGAAUGUAUGGUGUAUUGCCUUGUUAUAAAUAAGAAGAUACUCUUACCUUAAGGAUUAUAUCUUUAUUCUUAUUUAUUUAUUUAACUAUUUACAAGGUAAUUAUUAAACUUAUACCAAUCACAGCUAUGAGCAUAUAGGGAGUUAGACCUUUCCAUUGAGAGAAUUUUAUAAUGUUCUGUAUUCUCACAUUCCCCUCCUUCCACCAUUGGGAGACAUCCUCGAUGAUCUCCCUGGCGACUGCCGGAGUCAUGUUCAUCCUCAUGUAGUUGUACAAGUCAGCGAUGGAUUGUUCAUUUAUUGUUAGGGUGGCUCCCAUCAUUGUCUUUAAGUCAUUGGUUAGUUUCUCAGUAAAGGAGAGAGGCACGGAACCCAUACGGCAUAUCGCCAACAUGGCCUCCAGUUGGGAGACAUGGGCCUGGCUGGCUAGUGCGUGCAUCUGCUCGCAUACUAUUGCGUCCAAGACAGUGUCUAUUAGGGGAGGGCAAUGUUCCAUAGUAAAAUUGGCGCAGGCCUCAGUCACAUCCCCCGGUUGAGAGCCGCAGAGCCAGACUGACUCUUCCGGAGUUGACGUAGCCUUUAUUAUUGCCGCUUUGAGUGCAUUAUUGAGGAUCAGGUUGGCUUGGAGCGUUGGCAUGAACCAUUUUUUGCUGACCGCAUAGCCAAAGAUCUCUAAUGUAUAGACGUGCUGGUCAUGCGUCCAAAAGGCAGUCUGACACAUUUACGUCAUGGAGAUAAUCCCAAUCACAGCUAUGGCGCGGAACUUUUGCCAGCCUAAGGUAAACAAAACAGUUGUAAUGUGAUGAUCACCUUCCCGAUGAAUCCGCUGGGUUGCCAGAUCGUAACUUACUCUCAACACAUCUCCCCCUUUUCUUCUAGAGGUUUAGCCUGUCUGGCGGAUUUAUCACGCGUCCACUCCUGGUCUUUACUGGUUCCGGUGAUCUCUGGAAUGUCCUCGGUUCACUGUCACAAGUAGUGUUGUCCCCAGUAGAUGUGAAGCACUGACUCAUCUCAGGAGACUCCAUCUCUUCAUCUUCCAUGUCAAUCUUUUCACCCUGUGGGUUUGGUAGUAGGUGGAAUCUAUUUCUUCUUAAAAUUCCUUUUAGAGAGUUGACUAUAUAAGAUCUUGGACUUCCAGAGUCUUCAAGUACCACACCGGGAACUCUCAAGUCUUUCACCCAUACUCUAGUUCCUUCAUCCAGAUGGGGCAAUUCUCUUGCACGACGAUGUAUAUCAAAAUGGGUUUUCUUUUUGUGCGGUUGAUUUUUUUCUCUCAUUUCUAGAUUUUUAAGAUCAGGUAUUCUUGACUGGAGUUGAACUGGUGAUAUCGGCACAGUUGUUCUGAGUUUCCUGUUCAUGCAUAGUUCAGCAGGGCUGUACCCAUUUUCCAAUGGAGCGGUUCGAUAACCAAGAAGAGAAAGAUAUGGAUCUCUUCCUUUCUUCAAUUGGUUUUUGAUAUUUUUCACCAUCGAUUUGAUGAAGCCAUUGCUUUGAGGAAAUCUGGGACUAGAUGUUAUGUGGUGGAAACCGUAUUCUUUUGCAAACCUUUUGAAUUCUAACCCAAACUGUGGUCCGUUAUCUGAUCUAACCUCUUCGGGUAUUCCAUGGCGAGCAAAAAUUGACUUUGCAAUGUAUAAUUGUUGAAUGUGUUGUUUGAGCAUCCAGCAAUGCCAACUCUGGGAAUCUAGAGUAAUAGUCUGCAAUUAGAAGAUAGUAUUUGCCCUUUAAGUAAAAAUGGUCGAUUCCCACUUUCUCCCAUGGCCUGCUUGGGAAAUCAGAAACAAUUAAUGGCUGCUGGGGAUUAGAUCUUUCUUCAAUACAAUUUGGGCAGUUCCUCACAAGUUCUCCAAUUUCUUGACUGAUUCUGGGCCACCACACAGAUGAUCUGGCACAGCCUCUACAUUUUUCGAUUUUUUGUUGGCCUACUUGCUGCUGUCAUCCUGGUAUCUGCUGUUGACUGAGCUGUAUCCAGAUUUUAACAUUGAAUUAAUUAUACAGGGUGUGGUAGAUAAGUAAUGAGACUCAGUCUAGAAAAACAAAUUUAUUGAUCAGAUUUGUACAAAACGUUAAUAUUCUUCAAAUAACUCGCCUUGGGCGUCUACACGUUGAGCACCAGUAACUGCAAAAAUUGAUUGGUCUGAACCCUUGUAUAUGUAUUUGCAGAUAUAUUUUAUAGCAGAGAUUGAAGCACAGGACUCCACAUUGAUGUGAGCAUCAAAUAGUCUGCAUAGAAUCUAGAAAGGGAGGGAGGGAAAAAGAGAUGUGUUACUUUACCUUGAAUUUGGUUUUCCCCUUUAGAUUCGUUUAGGUAUUUGAUAACUAUAUUUUUGUCAAGAACUACUGAGCAGUUUUUCAUGAUCAAAUUUUUAGGGUCAAUGGAAUCCAGACUUGGAACAGCUCUGGAUCCAGCUGCUGGAUUGGUGGCGGCCUUUGUGAUGCAGGAGCUAUUUUUCUUUUUCGGGGCAUCUUUCCUUAUUGUUGGAAGAGGCGAAGAUGAGGCGAAGAAGAGGCGAAUAUGGUACAACAUACCUAUUAUCAAUGGUAAACUUAGUCAUGAGCACAACCUGAACACCAUUCACAAUGGUGAAAACUCUCACUCUUUUAACAAAAGAAAAGCCACCUUCCUCAGGCCUGCGACAUCUGUACAAUGGGUAGCCAUCCCUAUCUCCCUAUCUAUCUGCGUUUCAGCCAAGAGUAGCCGUGGAUAUUUCUUUUGGCAUCUACCCUGUCCAUGCAGCCAGGAUUAGGAUACCCAUGUCCACAUGGCCCAUGAAUCAUAUUUUUGGUUACAGUCCGAAACAGUGAAGCAUCAACCUCCUCAUUGGGGAUUUCCACACAAAUGAUCGAAUCAAUCUGGUUUGGGCGAAUCUUUUCUUUAAGCCACAAUAAAAUGUGCGCAUGUGGUAGCCCUCGCUUUUGCCAUUCAAAUCUAUAAGCUUGGUAACUUUCAAUUGAAAUAUGCGAGCAACCAAGUCAUGCCGAACAAAUGCACCUUGGGUGGGGAAUUGCAUUAGUUUUAUCUCAGGCCACUCAGGAUUGCAUGUAAAUGUAAUAAAAAGGUCUGGGCGACCAUAUUUACGGACGUAAGCCAUGCAAUCCUGGGCAUACUUGUGCAUGUGCCUUGGACUUCCCGCAAAGGAAGAAGGAAGAAUAACUUGUCUUCCAAUAAGGGCAUGACUCCUGUCAGUGCGAAUAGCAUCUAACAGAUUGAUGUAUUCGGUUGCACGAAGUUGAGCUUGAUGCGCUGAGAUGUAAUGCAGCCUUUCAGAUUCCACCUUGGCAUAAAUGUCGACCAGAAUUUGAUGGGUCAAAUCUCCAAAAGCCAGUAACCAAUUUGUUAUACCUGGAUUACGGCUACGAAUCAUUAGCAGUGAAGCAUAAAAAUCCAUGCAAGAAACCGUCUUGUGCGCCCUGAAGGAACCCCAUCAAUCAGCUGAGGGAUAUGGAAAUGAUAACCAUCUUGACCAUUCCAAAAAACCAAUGGGUAUUGCAGGGCGUCAUAAGACCUGUGAAACUCGUUAAUCCUCUGCACACCACUGCCUCUUUUGGAAAGAACAAUGUCACGUCUGUCACAGUUUUCCUGCACAAUAACAAUGGCAACCUCAUUAAUGGUUGGAGCAUUGAAUGUGCGAGGAUGGUGUCCAGGCGGUGCUUUGUCAGCCUUAAUGACCAACUUGUACUCAGGAGAAGGCAUAUUUUCAAUGGAAGCUUUGAACAAAUGGACAUAAGGAUUAUGUCGAUGCAACAUAUCUUGCAAAAUGCUAACAAUGUGGGGCUUAGUGAUGGGAAAGUUUCUGUGGCGGGUGGCAACCUCUGCACUACUAUCUCCGAUGAAGAAAACCUGAAGGAAUGCUGGCUGUAGUUGGCGGCUAUCAGAGUUGAGUGGUGGCAAAACAGAGCCAAUUCUAUGAUAGACCUGGCCUUGGACCUUAAACGUUGGCAUGUAACCUGGCAACACAACACGACUACCACACCCAAAAGUUGUCAUUUGGAAGGCAUUGUUAUAGUGACGGACACGUUGCAUGAACUCAGCCGAGUGACGAGAAGACCCAUCGAGCAGAGUUUUGAGAGCUUCUGGGGGUUCAGGUAAAUCAGGAAUUCUGACCUUCCCUGCAGAACAGCACAUUCCAGGCCGCUCACCAUUGUACUUAAAGGCAGUACAAUGUAGACAUUGUUUAUCCAUAUAGCCAAUCUGAAGAAAAGUAAAUUGUUCAUAAUUCAGGGCCGGAUUGUAAUGGAAAGCAGCAUUGAGCCUAUCAGCGCAAGUGCUAGCUCGUUGCCUGAAGUGCCGCAACCGGUCAGCCUUCUGUCGUGUUUGGGACUGCUGGGGAGUCUGAUGUGCGUUGAACUCUGUGGCGCAGCCGGUCACUUUGGAGGCGGGCUUGAGACUGUUGGGGAUUCUCCAAUGUGCGGCUACUUUGGCCUCUAGCAGCUCGGGCAGCCAUGCAGGAAGCUGCAGUUCUUACUCCAAUUGCAGAUCUUUUGCGAGGCAUAUCAAAUGGGAUGAUUAAAUUUGAAAAUAUGUCCUAAAAAAAUAGAAAUGGCACAAUCAGUAUACCAAAAAUAUUUUUGUAUUUAUAAAAAAAAAAAAGCUUUUAAGGAAAACAGUGCAGACCCAAAACAAAUCCAAAGUAUCAGAAUAAGUUACAGAACAAAACUGAUUAUCUAGUAGAAAAGGCAGAAGUAUCCUUUAUAUAUUAAAUUGGCAUUAUUUACUAGCCUGAAUACCACAUCAAAUGCCAACCCUUUAGGGCAGUGUCGGGCUACCUUUUUCGAGUUGCGGCGCACUAAGCUUAAUUUCUUUUUUUCGCGGCGCACCUGUGGUUCUCACUAUAAAUUUCCUCGUAGGUAAUUAAAAUACAACAAUAAAUACUAGAGUAAAAAUUUAAACAUAUAUAUCACAUUUUAUUAAUUUUCAAUAUUAAAUUAACAUAAUCAAUGCGAGCAUUGCGAUUGUUUUUGAGAGCAUAUCAAAUCAAUACAGGGAUCUACUUGUGAAAGACAAAUGCGCAUCUCCUCAUCUAUCAUUU